ACUUUUAAAGGGUAAGAGUUACCCAUUGAUCUUAGGAACUAAAACCAUUGGUUCAACUCCAAGUAAAAGUA
rfam:Callithrix jacchus chromosome 15, whole genome shotgun sequence